AAGGCUAAAUACUCCUGACUGACCGAUAGUGAACCAGUACCGUGAGGGAAAGGCGAAAAGAACCCCGGCGAGGGGAGUGAAAAAGAACCUGAAACCGUGUACGUACAAGCAGUGGGAGCACCCUUCGGGGUGUGACUGCGUACCUUUUGUAUAAUGGGUCAGCGACUUAUAUUCUGUAGCAAGGUUAACCGUAUAGGGGAGCCGGAGGGAAACCGAGUCUUAACCGGGCGUUAAGUUGCAGGGUAUAGACCCGAAACCCGGUGAUCUAGCCAUGGGCAGGUUGAAGGUUGGGUAACACUAACUGGAGGACCGAACCGACUAAUGUUGAAAAAUUAGCGGAUGACCUGUGGCUGGGGGUGAAAGGCCAAUCAAACCGGGAGAUAGCUGGUUCUCCCCGAAAGCUAUUUAGGUAGCGCCUCGUGAAUUCAUCUCCGGGGGUAGAGCACUGUUUCGGCUAGGGGGCCAUCCCGGCUUACCAACCCGAUGCAAACUGCGAAUACCGGAGAAUGUUAUCACGGGAGACACACGGCGGGUGCUAACGUCCGUCGUGAAGAGGGAAACAACCCAGACCGCCAGCUAAGGUCCCAAAGUCAUGGUUAAGUGGGAAACGAUGUGGGAAGGCCCAGACAGCCAGGAUGUUGGCUUAGAAGCAGCCAUCAUUUAAAGAAAGCGUAAUAGCUCACUGGUCGAGUCGGCCUGCGCGGAAGAUGUAACGGGGCUAAACCAUGCACCGAAGCUGCGGCAGCGAACGUAUCACCCAAGACAACUUUACGGAGUUGACGAUUGACGGAGCGAAGCGACGUCAAAGCGUUCAUUAAAGUCGAGUUGGCUUAGGGAUACGUUCGUUGGGUAGGGGAGCGUUCUGUAAGCCUGUGAAGGUGUGUCGUGAGGCAUGCUGGAGGUAUCAGAAGUGCGAAUGCUGACAUAAGUAACGAUAAAGCGGGUGAAAAGCCCGCUCGCCGGAAGACCAAGGGUUCCUGUCCAACGUUAAUCGGGGCAGGGUGAGUCGACCCCUAAGGCGAGGCCGAAAGGCGUAGUCGAUGGGAAACGGGUUAAUAUUCCCGUACUUGGUGUUACUGCGAAGGGGGGACGGAGAAGGCUAUGUUGGCCGGGCGACGGUUGUCCCGGUUUAAGCGUGUAGGUGUGUGUUCCAGGUAAAUCCGGUUCACUUUAACACUGAGGCGUGACGACGAGGCACUACGGUGCUGAAGCAACAAAUGCCCUGCUUCCAGGAAAAGCCUCUAAGCAUCAGGUAACAC
rnacentral:rRNA from 1 species